rnacentral:rRNA from 1 species
CCUGGCUCAGGAUGAACGCUAGCGGCAGGCUUAACACAUGCAAGUCGAGGGGUAACAGGUCACUUCGGUGAUGCUGACGACCGGCGCACGGGUGAGUAACGCGUAUGGAACCUACCUGAAACAGGGGGAUAGCUUCCGGAAACGGGGAUUAAUACCGCAUACGAUUCAUUUGUGGCCUCACAAAUGGAUAAAAGCUACGGCGGUUUCAGAUGGCCAUGCGUACCAUUAGUUAGUUGGUGAGGUAAAGGCUCACCAAGGCGAUGAUGGUUAGGGGUCCUGAGAGGGUAGUCCCCCACACUGGUACUGAGACACGGACCAGACUCCUACGGGAGGCAGCAGUGAGGAAUAUUGGUCAAUGGGCGCUAGCCUGAACCAGCCAUGCCGCGUGCAGGAAGACGGCCCUACGGGUUGUAAACUGCUUUUCUGCAGGAAGAAUAUAUAGUCUUAGGGGUAUAUUGACGGUACUGCAGGAAUAAGCAUCGGCUAACUCCGUGCCAGCAGCCGCGGUAAUACGGAGGAUGCAAGCGUUAUCCGGAUUCAUUGGGUUUAAAGGGUGCGCAGGCUGUAAAGCAAGUCAGUGGUGAAAGCCCUGGGCUUAACUCAGGGAUUGCCAUUGAAACUGUUUUACUAGAGUGUAGUAGAGGACGGCGGAAUGAGUUGUGUAGCGGUGAAAUGCAUAGAUAUAACUCAGAACACCUAUUGCGUAGGCAGCUGUCUAUACUACAACUGACGCUGAGGCACGAAAGCGUGGGGAGCGAACAGGAUUAGAUACCCUGGUAGUCCACGCUGUAAACGAUGAUCACUCGUUGUUGGCUACUUAGUAGUCA